rnacentral:tRNA from 1 species
GCUCUUAUGGUGUAAUGGUUAGCACUCUGGACUCUGAACUCCUAUUGCGAUCCGGGUUCAAAUCCCGGUAGGACCU